rnacentral:rRNA from 1 species
GCGAGACCUUCGGGUCUAGCGGCGGACGGGUUAGUAACGCGUGGGAACGUGCCCUUCUCUGCGGAAUAGCCACUGGAAACGGUGAGUAAUACCGCAUACGCCCUUCGGGGGAAAGAUUUAUCGGAGAAGGAUCGGCCCGCGUUAGAUUAGAUAGUUGGUGGGGUAAUGGCCUACCAAGUCUACGAUCUAUAGCUGGUUUUAGAGGAUGAUCAGCAACACUGGGACUGAGACACGGCCCAGACUCCUACGGGAGGCAGCAGUGGGGAAUCUUAAACAAUGGGCGCAAGCCUGAUCUAGCCAUGCCGCGUGUGUGAUGAAGGUCUUAGGAUCGUAAAGCACUUUCGCCAGGGAUGAUAAUGACAGUACCUGGUAAAGAAACCCCGGCUACUCCGUGCCAGCAGCCGCGGUAAUACGGAGGGGGUUAGCGUUGUUCGGAAUUACUGGCGUAAGCGUACGUAGGCGGAUCAGAAAGUAAGGGGUGAAUCCAGGCUCAACC